rnacentral:lncRNA from 10 species
UCCCACUCAAGGAAGCUCCUUGAAGAUGUUUACCAAUCACCUGCCAUCUGCCAGGCACCUGGGAUACAUCAGCAGCAAAGAGAAAAAAACUCACCCUCUGGGACCUGAUAUCCCGGGCAUGAUGUGUGAAGAGCUGCGGUGGCCCCUGAAGGAACCUGGCCUAUGCAUCCCCGUGGUUGCAUCUUCCCAUCGAUGUGUUUCUAAUAUUAGUUGCAAUAACCACAGCGAUCAUUCAUAGGGAACCUACUGUAUUAGUCAGGAUCAUUUCGGUUUUAAGUCACAGAAA